rnacentral:tRNA from 1 species
ACCCAAAUAGCUCAGUUGGGAGAGCGUUAGACUAUAGACCGAAAGGUCCCUGGUUCGAUCGCCGAGAUUCAACC